rnacentral:tRNA from 1 species
CGGGGCGUGGCUCAGCUUGGCUAGAGCGCUUGCUUUGGGAGCAAGAUGUCGCAGGUUCAAAUCCUGCCGCCCCGACCA